rnacentral:rRNA from 2 species
UGGAUCCAGACUUUGAUCAUGGCUCAGGAUGAACGCUAGCUACAGGCUUAACACAUGCAAGUCGAGGGGAAACGACAUCGAAAGCUUGCUUUUGAUGGGCGUCGACCGGCGCACGGGUGAGUAACGCGUAUCCAACCUGCCCAUCACUUGGGAAUAACCUUGCGAAAGUAAGACUAAUACCCAAUGACAUCCCACGAAGGCAUCCGAAUGGGAUUAAAGAUUUAUCGGUGAUGGAUGGGGAUGCGUCUGAUUAGCUUGUUGGCGGGGUAACGGCCCACCAAGGCAACGAUCAGUAGGGGUUCUGAGAGGAAGGUCCCCCACAUUGGAACUGAGACACGGUCCAAACUCCUACGGGAGGCAGCAGUGAGGAAUAUUGGUCAAUGGGCGAGAGCCUGAACCAGCCAAGUAGCGUGCAGGAUGACGGCCCUAUGGGUUGUAAGCUGCUUUUAUAAGGGAAUAAAGUGAGUCUCGUGAGACUUUUUGCAUGUACCUUAUGAAUAAGGACCGGCUAAUUCCGUGCCAGCAGCCGCGGUAAUACGGAAGGUCCGGGCGUUAUCCGGAUUUAUUGGGUUUAAAGGGAGCGUAGGCCGGAGAUUAAGCGUGUUGUGAAAUGUAGAGGCUCAACCUCUGCACUGCAGCGCGAACUGGUCUUCUUGAGUACGCACAACGUGGGCGGAAUUCGUGGCGUAGCGGUGAAAUGCUUAGAUAUCACGAAGAACUCCGAUUGCGAAGGCAGCUCACGGGAGCGCAACUGACGCUGAAGCUCGAAAGUGCGGGUAUCGAACAGGAUUAGAUACCCUGGUAGUCCGCACGGUAAACGAUGGAUGCCCGCUGUUGGCCUGAAUAGGUCAGCGGCCAAGCGAAAGCAUUAAGCAUCCCACCUGGGGAGUACGCCGGCAACGGUGC